CUGUUUUGCACUCUUGAUAUUUUGGAGAGUCACCCUUUCAUUGCUGUGCUCUGGUUUUCUGCAUCAUAAAUGAUUUGUAGAUUGUACACAAAAAAAAUACCUCUGUAUUUUUAUA